rnacentral:rRNA from 1 species
GACAGAGGGUGCAAACGUUGUUCGGAAUUACUGGGCGUAAAGCGCGUGUAGGCUGCUCCGAAAGUCAGGUGUGAAAGCCCCGGGCUCAACCUGGGAAGUGCACUUGAAACCUCGGAGCUUGAAUGCCGGAGAGGGUAGCGGAAUUCUCGGUGUAGAGGUGAAAUUCGUAGAUAUCGAGAGGAACACCGGUGGCGAAGGCGGCUACCUGGACGGCGAUUGACGCUGAGAACGCGGAAAGCGUGGGGAGCAAACAGG